rnacentral:rRNA from 1 species
UACGUAGGUGGCAAGCGUUGUCCGGAUUUAUUGGGUUUAAAGGGUGCGUAGGCGGCUUUGUAAGUCAGUAGUGAAAUACCCCAGCUCAACUGGGGGGGUGCUAUUGAUACUGCAUGGCUUGAGUACAGAUGAGGUAGGCGGAAUUGACGGUGUAGCAGUGAAAUGCGUAGAUAUCGUAAGGAAGACCAGUGGCGAAGGCGAAUCUCUGGACAGUUACUGACACUGAGGCACGAAGGCCAGGGGAGCAAACGGG